CACAGUAUCAGUUAGGUUGGAACAGACCUCUGAAACCAUCAAGUCCCAGCCUUUGAACAAACACCAUCUUGUCAGGUAGACCAUGGCACUGAGUGCCACAUGCAGUCUUUUCUCAAACACCUCAGGGAUGGUGACUCCAUCACCUCCCUGGGCAGACCAUGCCAAUGCUUGACAGUCCUGUGAACAAAUUCCUCCUCAUGUUCAAUGUGAACCUCAUUCACUGUUGUAAUAUAUAAAAUUAAAUAAUUAAUUAAUUUAUCACAUUUGUAAAUUUCCAGGCAUAUGUGCUAAUUUCCUGAAUUUAUUAGGGCAAUCCCUCUUGUGCAAAUUAUCAUUUGUUGUUGGACAGGGAGGGACAUGUUACAUAAGCCAGUAACCCAGUUGUUGCUACCUCUUUGGCCAGCCAUGUCCUUCUUCUAUGCAGAUUUCCCGGAACCAGUGACACUGCUGAGUUUCCUUGAUGCUUAGUUUAUCUGUGUUGUAAAAUAGUUACAUUUUGGGGAGAGAGGAGCUGAAGAGGUGAGAACUGUCCAUGGUGUUACAUGUACUGAACGGGAAGGUGCUCUGAAGCAGAGAAAGAAGCCUAAGCAGUAGCUGUAUGCACAAUUAUCCUUUUGGUUCUGUCAUACCAAUGUAGUGGGAGGCCAGGAGUCCAGAUGAAUGUUUCAGUUACACCUUCAUGAAGAAUGGGAAUGUCACACUGACUGUGCAGCAGUAUAUAUUUCAGAUUGGUAAAUAUUUCAUUUACAACAAGUGUGGUUUGUCCAAGAGGAUGUGUGCAGUUUUCCCUCCUUGCUGCUACUGUGCAGAGCACUGCCUGGUUGUCUUUAUUCUCUGGAUUCUUUCUGUUCAGUGGUAUUGUGCAUUAGGCCUGAAACUUGCAUUUUGUGAGUUUUGGGAGGAAACUCCAUGUGGUUGUGUGUAUAUUUUCCCAUGCAUCUAACCAACACAAGGCAACAGAAAGAACACAAAUGUUAAGGUUACCCUGCCCACCAACCUUUACAACAUUGUAUGGGAGGGGUAGUGCAGUUGUAAUGGAUAUAGGAAUGCUUGUCCAUGCCCAGAUGGAAAUGGUUGUUUACUGGAUGGCAAGUACUGAAGUUUUAUCAGUGGGAGAACUAGGCAGGAAAAACCUGCAGUUUGACUUUGCUAAACUUUUACGCAAUUUUUCCUCCACAUGAAAUAUUUCCACAGGAAUCUAAGGCGUGUGGAAGAUGCUGGAUCACCAGGUGCAGAGAUUGAAUUCUACCCACUGGAAAGGUUUUUCUACAGCAGCAACAGGUCUUCUCUUGCCUCUCAUGGGAACACUUAGCCUUUUGAUAAUGUCUCCUUCAUAAAGAAGGGGGGAAGAAAGGAUGGAUCAGCAGGGGUGUGCAAUGGAGUGAUGUCCACAUGUGGUGAUAACAGUCAUGAUGAUCCCUGUCCCACUAACUUGGAGAAUUGAAUAAAAAAGUUGAAUUGUAA